rnacentral:rRNA from 1 species
AAAUUGAAGAGUUUGAUCAUGGCUCAGAUUGAACGCUGGCGGCAGGCCUAACACAUGCAAGUCGAACGGUAACAGGAAGCAGCUUGCUGCUUUGCUGACGAGUGGCGGACGGGUGAGUAAUGUCUGGGAAACUGCCUGAUGGAGGGGGAUAACUACUGGAAACGGUAGCUAAUACCGCAUAAUGUCGCAAGACCAAAGAGGGGGACCUUCGGGCCUCUUGCCAUCGGAUGUGCCCAGAUGGGAUUAGCUAGUAGGUGGGGUAACGGCUCACCUAGGCGACGAUCCCUAGCUGGU